rnacentral:rRNA from 1 species
GAUGAACGCUAGCGGCAGGCUUAAUACAUGCAAGUCGUGGGGCAGCAUGAGUGUAGCAAUACAUUUGAUGGCGACCGGCAAACGGGUGCGGAACACGUACACAACCUUCCUUCAAGUGGGGAAUAGCCCAGGGAAACUUGGAUUAAUACCCCGUAAUAUUAUGGAGUGGCAUCACUUUAUAAUUAUAGCUCCGGCGCUUGAUGAUGGGUGUGCGCCUGAUAGGUAGUUGGCGGGGUAACGGCCCACCAAGCCUUCGACCAGUAACUGGUGUGAGAGCACGACCAGUCACACGGGCACUGAGACACGGGCCCGACUCCUACGGAGGCAGCAGUAAGGAAUAUUGGUCAAUGGACGCAAGUCUGAACCAGCCAUGCCGCGUGGAGGAUGAAGGUCCUCUGGAUUGUAAACUUCUUUUAUAUGGGACGAAAAAGGGAAUUCUUUCUCGUCUGACGGUACAUAUGAAUAAGCACCGGCUAACUCCGUGCCAGCCGCCGCGGUAAC